rnacentral:rRNA from 1 species
CCUACGGGUGGCUGCAGUGGGGAAUAGUGCGCAAUGGGCGAAAGCCUGACGCAGCGACGCCGCGUGAGGGAUGAAGGUCUUCGGAUCGUAAACCUCUGUCAGCAGGGAAGAACGGUCACGGGGCUAAGCAGCAGUGAAUUGACGGUACCGGCAAAGGAAGCACCGGCUAACUCCGUGCCAGCAGCCGCGGUAAUACGGAGGGUGCGAGCGUUAAUCGGAAUUACUGGGCGUAAAGCGCUCGUAGGCGGUAUGUCAAGUCAAGGGUGAAAUCCCCGCUCUCCACGUGGGAACUGCCUUUGAACCUGGCAAACUGGCGUGUGUGUGAGGCUAGUGGACUUCCAGGUGUAGGCG